rnacentral:miRNA from 1 species
UCUGACCCAUUUCUUCCUGGUGC